AUUGAACGCUGGCGGCAGGCCUAACACAUGCAAGUCGAACGAGUGGCGGACGGGUGUGCAAUGUCUGGGAAAUUGCCUGACGGAGGGGGAUAACUACCGGAAACGGUAGCUACUACCGCAUACUAUCAGAUGUGCCCAGAUGGGAUCAGCUUGUUGGUGGGGUAACGGCUCACCAAGGCGACGAUCCCUAGCGGGUCUGAGAGGAUGACCAGCAAAACUGGAACUGAGACACGGUCCAGACUCCUACGAGAUGCAGCAGGGGGGAAUAUUGGACAGUGGGGGCAAGCCUCGUGCAGCCAUGCGGCGUGUAGGAGGAAGGCCUUAGGGUUGUAAAGUACGUUCAGCAGAGAUGCGUUUCCCGCAGAAAAAGCAACGGCUAACUCCGUGCCAGCAGCCGCGGUAAUUC
rnacentral:rRNA from 1 species